AAUACCCCAUCUCUGGCUUCUACUUAGGUUUGAAAAUGAUUUGCUAAAUAGAAAAGGUGAACCAGUUGUUAUGGGGUUCAGAAUAAGUUUGUUUGAAUAAUUGUCUGUCAAAACAGAUUCACAAUUAUUAUGUUUAAUGGUACUUUUUAAAAGUUAAUAACACAUAUAAGACUAAACCCCCUUUUGGUCUCUCUCUCAUAUUGCAUUUCAAGUACUAGUUAAGGCAUUGAUUAAUUUGGAUCCUGGUGAGGAAAUGGAGUCUCUAAGAAAACAAUUUCAAGAAUUCAUUACAGGCCUCAUGUCAUUACCAAUAAACAUUCCUGGAACUAGGCUUCACAGAUCAUUACAGGCAAAGAAAAAAAUGGUGAAGCAAGUAUAGAAAAUUUUAGAAGCCAGGAAAAGUAGUAGUGGGAUGAUCACCAAAGAGGCUCCAAGAGAUGUAAUAGAUGUUCUUCUAAAUGACACAAGUGGUCAAUUAACAUAUGAUCUAAUAGCUGAUAACAUUAUAGAUAUGAUGAUCCCAGGAGAGGAUUCAGUUCCUGUUCUUUUGACUCUUGCACUGAAAUAUCUCUCAAAUUGUCCUGCUGCCCUACAACAGUUACUGGUUUGUGGAAAUUAUGGCUCUUGUCUUUUCUCGAAAAGCUUGGCGGUGUGUAUGGCACAUGAUUCAGGUAUGGUGUGU